CUCUUAGCUUAUUUUUUUAAGUAACGGAUACCCAAAGCCAGUUCUUGUAGUUCCAAUUUUCUUAUUUUUUUUUUAACAAUGGUUGCAUUAGCAUUGGCCACCACUUCACCAUUGCUAUCAACACCCUCUUUCAAGAAAACAAAUCUCAAAACCUUUCCUACCCAAAUACGCUCUCCCUGCACUGCUAUCAACCUACUUCUUUUGAGUUCCAAAUUUCAAAACUUUCACCGUUUUCCUCUUCCUUCAACCGAAACAAGUGCUUCCAAAAAUGGGUUAUUCGAUACAACUGACCCAAGCGGAGAAGAUGAGAUUUUUACUUCCUUUUGAGGAGAAGCCGUUGAAUUUCGCCCUCUAGGUUUUGGUUGGGUUUUCCUUGUCUCUGAUUUGGGGUUUAGGGUUUAGAGAUGCUAAUACCGCCACUGCCACCGCCCCGACUUCGGCCGCAAGAUUGCGGGUGCUUUGCGCGGGUCGGGUUGGCCAGACGAGACUGUCGUGUUUGCUCUUGCUACUCUUCCUCUCCUCGAGCUUCGUGGAGCUAUUCAUGUUGGUUACUGGAUGCAACUCAAGCUUAUGCUCUUGACAAUCUUAUCAAUUCUCGGGAAUAUGCUUCAUGUGCCCUUCAUUAUACUGUACCAGAAGAGGUUUGCUACUUUUCUUGUUGGGAAAAACCAGUCUGCAUCUAGGUUUCUUGACAUGAUUUUCAAGAGGGCCAAGGAGAAGGUUGGUCAUGUGGAAGAAUUUCAAUGGCUCAGGCUAAUGCUUUUCGUGGCUGUUCCUUUCCCCAGAACAGGAGCAUGGACUGGGGCCAUCAUAGCCUCUAUUCUUGAUAUGCCCUUCUGGUCUGGUGUAUCAGCCAAUUUCUUUUCAUAUAUUAUUUAGCUUUGAUUAGUGUGAUUCAUCCAUCAGACUCCCAUGGAGCUUCUCUCUUAAAUGCAAGCUUUGUUUAGAUGCUUAGAUUGUGAUUUGUAGGAGUACAAGCUCAAAAGUACAUAUUGCUUUUUCGGUAUUUUUAGACAAUGGAAUAAGAAAUGAGCUUUUCAAUUCGUAAAAUAGGAGAAAAGGCCAUUCUUCAACCCGUAGAUCUGAAUAUGCAUAACUAUGUUCUGUAUUAAGUCUUAUAUGUCCAUGAAGGCUGCUGAGGAACCAGUCAACCAGCAUUACAGUUAGUCUAUCUUAUAUUUUACUGUUUCCACAUCAUAUAAAUUACUAUAACGAAUUGGCUUGUUUAGCUUAUUGCAUUUUUAACCUCUGUGGUCUAUAAGGCUCGUAAUAUUCUAUUGACGUGGUAAGCUUUCAGUCUUUGUUAGAUUGAAUGAAAUGCUAGCCAAUUUGUAGUUCAUCUUCAUCAGGGGUUGGACAAGAUAAGUUGAAUCUGUCAGCUUCUCCAACAGCCUUUUGGGUUCAAUCUUUAGCUAUUACCAUACCAACUAUUUAGUAUAGAGGUUCCUAAUCCCUGAUCGGUGAAUUUAAUUUCUAUGUUUGACCUCUAUCUCAUUACUUUAGUGGCGUUUGUAAUUAAAAGUUUAGCAAUGGUGAAGUGUUGCAGUCGAUGAUCUGGACACUUUUCUGCAUAGUGUUAGAGAACUUUUAAGUAUCCAUUCAAGUAAUGUCUCCAUGGUUACAUAUUUAGACCAAAUUAUUGUUUUAAUACAGGGUUUUUGUUUAGCUGAAGGAUUUUCAUUUGUGGUUGCUUUUGGCAUUUCCUUUAGAUGCACAGGUUGGUUUAUCAACAUAUGUAUCUGCUCCUAGCAUUGUGAAACAAAUAUCUGCUCUGCAUUCGGAAUUGAUUGCCCUUCAAUCCGAUCUUGAGAAUUCUCUUCCCGAGGAAAGAAAUAGACGCAUCAAUGAGCUAUGAGUUAUUCUAUUUUGCUUAUAUUUUAGAAAUUUUCUUCAACGUUACUAUUCGAAACACAUUUAAAAUACUUUCUGAGUUAGAAUUGUGUUUGAUGAAUUUUGAGCAUCUGAUAUUUCCUUAUUGUGCCAGGUGCACUUUGAUUCAAAGUUUGCAGCAACUAUUAUUUGCAUCUUCAACAACUGCACAACCAAUAUUGACACCUCGGCCUCUAAGGAAAGAGCUGGAUGAAAUGGAAAAGAUCAAUGCAAAACUCUCUGCUGCAGUCGAGGAGGUUACCCUUGAGCAUUGCAAAAAGAAUAUUUUAUUGGAGUUAAUAACAGUUUCCCUCAUGGAUGAAGUCUUGCAUAUCACUACAUAUGAUUACAACCAUUUUCAGUUCCCAUUCCAGUAUAUGCUCAAUUUAUAAGAAAUCUUUGAUAAACUAAAUAAACAGUCAUUAAUGUUUUUCUUUUAUCCAUUGAUAUUUCAAAACUAACGAUUUGAUCAUUAAUGUUAUCGAUUUAUAAGAAAUCUUUAUAAGCGACGACAAUGGCGAUAGCUAUGGAGAUGCAUGAUGUGAAAGGAGAGUGGUGAAGGCUGUUUCUAGUGUGAAUUUGAUGCUGGUUUUGAAUGAGAUUGAUGACCAUUUCUUGAAAUCCUGAGAGAAUGCUCGAGAGGUUUCUAAGAUGCAUUAUCAUUCCAAGUUAACUGUUAACCCAGGUAAUCUGCUUGGUCUUUAAGUUACUUUGAUGAUUGCUAAUACGUUUUUAGCUGCGACAAUUCCAAUUUUCGAUGGUUGAGUUCGAUAAAGGUAGGGUCUUCUACCAUCUUUUCC